rnacentral:rRNA from 1 species
UUCAUAGAGUGUAAAGGCAUAAGGGAGCUUGACUGCGAGACCUACAAGUCGAGCAGGGUCGAAAGACGGACUUAGUGAUCCGGUGGUUCCGCAUGGAAGGGCCAUCGCUCAACGGAUAAAAGCUACCCCGGGGAUAACAGGCUUAUCUCCCCCAAGAGUUCACAUCGACGGGGAGGUUUGGCACCUCGAUGUCGGCUCAUCGCAUCCUGGGGCUGUAGUCGGUCCCAAGGGUUGGGCUGUUCGCCCAUUAAAGCGGUACGCGAGCUGGGUUCAGAACGUCGUGAGACAGUUCGGUCCCUAUCCGUCGUGGGCGUAGGAAAUUUGAGAGGAGCUGUCCUUAGUACGAGAGGACCGGGAUGGACAUACCUCUGGUGUACCAGUUGUCGUGCCAACGGCAUAGCUGGGUAGCUAUGUGUGGACGGGAUAAGUG